AGUGAACGCUGGCGGCGUGCUUAACACAUGCAAGUCGAACGAGAACGGGUUAUAGCUUGCUAUAAUUGUCAGCUAAGUGGCGCACGGGUGAGUAAUGUAUAGGUAAUAUGCCUCUUACUAAGGGAUAACAAAUGGAAACGUUUGCUAAUACCUUAUACUCCUUAUUAACAGAAGUUAAUAAGGGAAAGAUUUAUUGGUAAGAGAUUAGCCUGUAUUGUAUCAGAUAGUUGGUGAGGUAAUGGCUUACCAAGACUAUGACACAUAACUGGUUUGAGAGGAUGAUCAGUCACACUGGAACUGAGACACGGUCCAGACUCCUACGGGAGGCAGCAGUGGGGAAUAUUGCACAAUGGACGAAAGUCUGAUGCAGCAACGCCGCGUAGAGGAUGACACAUUUCGGUGCGUAAACUCCUUUUAUAUGAGAAGAUAAUGACGGUAUUAUAUGAAUAAGCACCGGCUAACUCCGUGCCAGCAGCCGCGGUAA
rnacentral:rRNA from 1 species